AUUACAAGCAGCUUCCUGCUGACAAAGCUUUGGAGGAAUAAUAAUAUCUGGAAUACUAUGGAAUUUGGGAAUAAUAAUACUGGGGGGGAUAAUAACACCCUUUAGGGAAUAAGGUUGUCUCUCUAUUUCAUACGACCACGACACAAAGCAGCUGUAGCUUCUUAUAUGUAGCAGGAAUUAGCAGCUUCUUCAAGGUCUACGUGCCAGUUCCAGUUGAAAUGUUCCCAGCGUGUGUUCUGGCACUGCAGAUGGGAUGGGGAUCUCCCUGCAAAAUAAAACAAGGGGAGCUUCCAGAUCUGCUGGAAAUCUCUCUGUUUCCUGUGCCUGGGAGUAAAUAGCACUCAGAGAUUUCACCUUGGCAUCUGCUCUUCCUCCUUCCAAUCACUUAAGGGCAGCCUCAACUGAGGAAUAAGCAGGAGGAGCUUGGAGACGAGAUCCAGGGCCUAUCCUCAUCUCUGUCACACUUAUAAAUCUGGAGAAAUUCCACUUGUUCCUUGAGGACACACAAGGAUUUUAUUACAGCAGUGUUGAAAACUGGAAUCUGGCACAUCAUAUUAACAUAAAAUGCAAGGGAAAAAUACCCAUCAACAAGCAAAGGGCAAUACAGAAAAUAGGUUUGUUACGAGCAAAUUUGAUGUGUUUGUUUUCUUCUUCUUUUUUUUUUCCUCUGCAUUAAUGCCAUCCAGGCCUCUCCCAUAUAUUCUCGAGGAAAUGACUUCGUUAUAUCAGAGAAAUAUAUUGAAAAUGAAAUCAGUGGUAGCACCAAAUGUGCCCAGACAUGACAAGACAUUUAAGUAACAACAGCAGAAUUCUAUCUCCUUUCCUGUUUGUUCCAUGUUAACUUAUGGAGAUUGGUGCUGACUUUCUGGAAUGGCUGCAGCAAGCUGUAAAUGAUGUAUGAAAAUGAAAUGAAAAUUCUCUGCCCAAGCCACUGUGCACAGCAAUUGCUGCUGAGCUGAAUUAAUAGCUAUUUGCUCCUGUUUGCUCUGACACGGGAUGGAGCCAGAGAAGCCAGUAGCAAAGAUAUUGGAGUACCCAUCCACAGGUAUCCUGGACAGGACUCCUGCUGAUCCUUCACUCCAUCUUCAGUGGUGCAGUCCCUUCAGAGAGGUGAAAAGGAGGAGACACAAAUGUUUUCAGCCCUUCCUGGAAAAGCCCAAGGGGUUCACUCACAGAAUCAUAAAAUAUCCCAAGUUGGAAGAGACCCCUCAGGAUUAUCAAGUUCAACUCCUGGCUCCACACAGGACCACCCAAAAAUCAGGCCCUGUGUCUGAGAGCUUUGUCCAGAUGCUUCUUGAACUCUGGCAUGAUUGGUGCCAUGACUGCUGCCCUGGGGAGCCUGUUCCAGUGCCUGACCACCCAAAGUAAUAAGUUAGGUAGCAGUGAAACCCACUCAGGCCCUCCUUUUUCAACCUCUGUUUCCUGUCUUUGUUUACUUACCUCGUCCCCAUUUUUAUCCAACUGUAUCUGUGUUGCAACAUCACCACCCCUGGGCAUUAGGGAUGUGCAGGUGAAAGAGGUUAAUGGGUGUAAUUAAGUGAGCACAUGUGUGUGGGUACAAUUAGCACCUGGUGAUUAUGGCGGUGAGGUGAUGGGCAUGGUGACAAAGGACAUUUCUGGUGACCUAGUUACUAAACGCUCUCUGGUAGUCAUGCUACAGUGCAAAACUGCAAACAGUGAUUAUUAAUACCAUUAAAAAUUCAUGCAGGCUCAGGUUCUGCAAAUGCUCUGCCAUGUGAGUGCUCUCUGUGGAGGUAAAGAGGGCACUACAGCAAGCAUGGAAAACCAAUGUGCAGGUUAACAGUGCACUUGCAAAGUGCCCCUCGGAGUUUUGGGCUUGACCCACCCCUGUGCUGAAUCCAGCAGCAUCCCAUCUCAGCAUCCCUCCCCUCCUGGAUGUUCACUAUGUAGCUGGCCCUCUGAUCCCUCCCUUGUUCAUUUUUGCAUGGGUAACAUGUGCAAGUGCAAACCAAAAACAACAGAAAUUAAAAAAUAAUACAAAUGCCCCUUUGUGUGAUACUCCUUCCCAGCCAAGAAGCAAAGGGAGAUGGGAUUUAAUUUAGGCCAAUCCUCUGCUGCAUUUCAGAUAAAGCAUUUUAAUCUAGUCCUAGGUUGAUAAAAAUACCCCUCUCUGAUCCUGCAGGCAACUUUUUCUGCCAAUUUUCUUUCCAGGGAGGAAGAGAGGAGGAAAUAUAAUUGAAAGAACACUGCUGCAUAGAAAAUGACACUGACGGAGUAAUGCACUUUGGAACGGUGUGCUCUGCCAGCUCCUUGUUUUCUACUAUUUUUUCCUCUUUUUACUUCAGAAAUUUCAAGCUAUUGGUAAUCAUCGGUAUGAUUAGCUCUUUUUUUUCUUCUUUUCUUGUUUUUUUAUUCCCUGAGCUUCAGCCAGGUAGAAGUCUUUUAAAUACAGAAUGAUGUCUCAUUCCAACUUGCACAGUACAGCUUGUUCUCUUUCACCCCAAGCUGAGACUUUUCAGGGUUAAUUUAUUCAUCUAAUUGUUGGAUGCACAUGUGGUAUUGCAGUCCACAGUGAUUUUAUGGACUUAAGGCUAUGGUAAUGACUUAAUAAACAUGCAUGUGUACAUGAUUUGAAGGCCAUAUAUUCUCUUGAAUGUAAUAUUUCAGAAAAGACAGCAUGAAAAAUAAAAGAGUGGCCAGAGGCGUAUCUCAGUAGAGGUGUGAAAUGCUGAGCUUUUAGUAUUUUUUCCAAAUUAAAGACUCUGUUUAGAAAAGGUAUUACCUGUCCGGUUUCCUGACAGUCUGUGAACAUUUGAAUAAUCAACAGCAACAGGGCUUUUUGGGGUCCCUUUGCCUCCAUGCUGUUCUUUUGAGCCCUUCUCUAGCUUCUUAGUAUUGGUGUGUGCUUAUCCACGGGAAAGCAUGGCUGAACUGAUGAAGAAAAGGAACGGGAUAAGUUUGAUGGACAGCAUUCAUAAGAUGUGUAUUAAAAAUCUGUGAUGCUGCUGCUGAGAGAGUGAAGGGGGUGGGGUGGAAAGGAGAAGUUUCAGGGGCUGGUGAACUAAGCUACACCAGCUUAAACAAAACCCAACACAAAAGCACCACCUCUUUUAACGUGCACUCAUUUAACACUAAGAGGAGGGCAGAUUGGACUUUGUAGCUGAUGGGCAGUCUGUUACUCUUGAAAGUUGAAAUGAUUCUUCAUCGUCCCUUUGACAAUUACCAAGUCUGAUGGUCCGGAUGCAACUUCCCCUUUGAGAAGUGCCCAAAUGGGCACUGCCCAUAUAAGAAGGUGUAUUUUUCCUGCAGCUGGAUGGGAGACAAAGUUUUUGAACUUAGAAAUCUAGAAUUAGAUCUUCAGCUCAAUUUGGAAUAAAACUCGUCUCAGGUUUUAAGCAGAACCUCGGUCUGGAUACGGGAAGCUCAGCUGCACACUGGGGUUUCACCUGUGCUUUGCGACUCUGCUUCCUCCAAGCUGUAACCUGAAAAUGACACACUGCAUAUUCUGGCCAUCACUUGAGAUGUAAAAAUCCUCUUUGAUCAUGUUGCCCAUCAUUUUGGUGAGGCAAGCUUCUGCCCAGAGGCUGUUUUGGCCUUCAUUGGAUUAGGCCCCCAGAGGGAUGCCUGUGAUCCCUCAACAGGCUUUGGGUUUGAUGUUUAUUGCUCCUCAGCCCCCUCAGGGGCUGGUCUGGGAGACAGGCCAGUGUGGGCUGUGAAUGUAGAUGUGAGGAAGUCUUGGGAUCUUUAGGAAAACUCAUGGUUCAUGGCAAGGACCAUCCCAGGGUCCUGAUGCCCUUGACUUUGCUGUAUGCAUUUCUGCACCCAACCCCACCUUUGAAAGUUCACUAUGCUGAAGGAGCACUUUUUGUCUUUUUUUUUCCUUCUGCCUAAACGAUGGCAUUUUCUCUCCAAAAAGAUGAUACUUCUUAGAGGAAGGGCCAAUGAAAGAUGGCACAUGAAUUUUUCUCUUAUUCUGCCAUGACUUUGAGGCACCAACGAGAUAUUCCUCACUGCCCCCUUCACUUCCAUUUACUUUUGGCAAAAUAAGCCAAGUUUAACGGAUCUUUCCUUUAAAACCAGGAGCUAGAACUGAAAGUUCAGGCACCAGGUUGUGACCCCUUCGAAAUCUGUGUUGUUUAUGGCUGUUCGCUGCCGUGGCAAGGGCAGCACCACUCUCCCACUUGCUUGAUCCAGAGGCAAUAGUGAUGUUAUCAUGGCUUUCAGUUGGUUUUAUUUGGUCUGGCAGAAGGUGUGAUGUAGUAGUCUCCCACUUUUGCAUUUGCUGCCCUGCAUACUUAACGAGCAGGAGCAGUGUCUGUGCUGUCCCUGCAGACCAGCUAUAAGUCUUACUUAACAGGUGCUCAGCAGUGCUGGAAGCUUAAGGGUAAUAUCCAACAGGCACUGCCCUUGGCGUGCAGCAGCGUGCCUUCAUUCAGACUGUAGUGCCUGUGCUUCUCGCUGCUUCCCAGCCUCAUUAUUUUUCAUUUUUCUACUGCUAGUUUUGCUAGUAAGAUCCCAUUUGUCAAAACUGCUUUAUCGAAACAGGGAGAAGAUUGGGUUAGGGGAUUGUGGUGCAUAGUUUCUCAAAGGAUGAAGUUACUUCCAUAGCACAAGAUCACAUCAGCCAAGAACUGAAGGUGACUGCAAGCACAUUCAGGUGAAUGCCAUUCAUUAUUUGUACGUACAAAGAAGAUGAAGCUAUUCCUCUUUGCCCUCUUGGGAGGUGCUAUUUAAAUGAGGAAAAGGCAGGUCUUUCUUCAAAGAGCGUACAAGCUAGCCAAACAAGGCAAGGACAGGAGAAAAUAAAUAUUACCCUGACUCCUGAGAUCAAAUCAAGGCUGGAAGAUGCUUAAUGAUUUGCCUGAGGUGAUGUAAGUAGUCCAUAGAAGAAUGGAGGUAGGAACUGAACCCAGAGCCUCUGACCUGGUGAGCAGUGUCCUCUGAGAUGGUGUGUGGUCAGGAAAAUGGCAACAUAGCAAACGUGAGCUUUUGCCUAUGAACUCUGACACCUUGAGAAAAAGUGACAGCAUAAAAAAAAUCUAUCUUAUUCCUGACAAUAUUUUCCUCGUGUUACAUCUAUUCUCCCUCCCUUCCCCAAAACACGCAAUUUCCUGUAUUUUUACUGUUACUGUAUUUAAUAGCUAAUCUAAUGGUUAUCUUUGAUAGCAAAAUAUUUCAAAAUACAACUUCCUCUCUCUAAAACUUCCUGAGGAGGGUGAGUGGAGAGGAGAUGCAGGGCUCCUCUCCUUGGUAACUGAUGAUAGGACACAUGGGAAUGGCACAGAGCUGUGCCAGGGCAAUUUCAGACUAGACAUAAGGAAAAAAUUCUUUACUGCAAGGGCAGUCAAACACUGGAACAGGCUUCUGAAUGAGGUUGUUGGUGCCCUUGAACACUGCCUCUCAGUGCUCAAGAGACAUUUGCUCAGUGCCUUCAAUCAUAUGCUUUAACUUUUGGUUAGCAAUGAAGUGGUCAGGCAAAGACAGGUUGAUCUUCGAAGCUCCCUUCCAACUAAACUAUUCUGUCCUAUCCUGUACUGUCCUAUUCUGAAUUUUAGGAGGAAUUUUUUUCACACAGAGGGUGGUGAUGCACUGGAACAGGUUGCUCAAGGAGGUUGUGGAUGCCCCAUCCCUGGAGGCAUUCAAGGCCAGGCUGGAUGUGGCUCUGGGCAGCCUGGUCUGCUGGUUGGUGACUCUGCACAUAGCAGGGGGGUUGAAACUGUGGUCCUUUUAAACUCAGGCCAUUCUGUGAUUCUAUUAAUUUCCUGAACGUUCCAGAAUUCUGGAUCUCAGAAACAUGUUCAAGUUAAGGAAUGGGAAUAUGCUGGCAUUUUUUACAGGGCAUUCUUCUGGUGAAGAAUGAGGAGCUUUGUACUUUGUACAGUAUUUUAAGAUUGUCCCUUCCUUCAUUAUCAUAUUUUAUAUAGUUAAAAAUAGGAGUUAUAUUCACUGUGUUGGAAUAUAAGCUUGCAAUACACUGUGUAGUUAUCAGAAAGACUGUUCUUAAUUACCUGCAAAAAAACAUUUAUUGUCUGAGGUACUCUAUGAAUAUUAUCCCUUAAUUAGCUGCCUUAUUUCAGCUAAAUUAAAGAAAGAAAGAACAUUCACCAUGAACACUUUUUUUAAAAAAAUAUUAUUAUUAUUAGCACUAACUCUAUCCUCUGCAAUGGAAAAGAGAAAUGAAAGUACUUUAUUCUUUCACUGAGCUGAGGUGUAAGGUUUUGUUUUCUGAUGAGUUUGUGCUUAACUCUGCUUUUCUAAGAGCCACUUGAAACGGAGCACAGGCUGGAUUUUUAACCCGUGGUUGUGAAGGCAGCUCCAUUUUGAAGAAGGAAGUUCAGUAAUUGCCUCCUGACAGACCUCCCUGUCAAUUCUCCGGGAUAUCAGGGCUGGAUUGUUUGCUGGGAAAACGUCUAAAGUCAACAGAGGGAGGUACUGGAAAUAGCAUUCAGAUGGGCAGGGGAUAUCUAGUGGGUCAGAUGGAAGCACAUGAAAGAGUCAUGCUGAAGCCAGGUAAGGAACCAUUUAACAACUGUGUAACUGUGCCUCCUUUUUGGCUACCAGACUUUCCCUGGAGCUUUGACCUGCUAGCCAGCAGUGAGCAUGCCUGCUGCUGGUAGAUGCAAAGGUUUUUCUGUUGACUUACCCUUGGCUUAGGUGUGAAAACCUUGCCUUGAGGUUGAGGGUAAUUACUACUGCAUAGCAGAGACAUGUGGGGCUGAUUAGUUUUGGACUAGAUAGGGAGAGGGUAGAUGGUUCUCAGUUGGAAAUGAAAAUAGGAGGGAUGCUUUGUUCUGGGAAAGUGCGUGCUUAGGCUGAGGCUUUUUUCCAGACAAGGAUUUUAGUACCCAGGGCACAACAGAGGUAAAAUUAGGUCCUGUAGGCCAAAACUGUAAUGUCAACCAGCUGCUACCUAACUCUGUGGGUGUCUGGGUUCAGUAUCUGUCUUUGACCUCUCAGGUCUCUAAAUAUCUGGUUCAGUGCUCUGUGUGCCCUGUGCUGCCCUGCCUCAGUGAUAAGUAGGAUGACGUUUAGGUUCCCUAGCAAUGCUAAGUGCUGGACAGCAGCUCACGUGUAUGAAUGAAACACUAUCCAAGCUGAAACUGAAUCUCACCCCAGAAGAAGUGACUAAAUAUAUAUUUUUGUCAUUGUCCUCUUUCUUCUUUUUUAUUUUGGUUUAGAAAACUUUGCUUUUAUACUUCCCUGUAACACUUUAUUUUUACUUUUUUUUUUUGCAGUAGUGUGGAGUAAUCCUAUGAGAAUGACCAUGGCUGUCUUUACUGAUGUGGGAGGAGGGCAGAAGGAAUGACUUCAGUGCUGCUUUAAUUACUGAUCUCACUAACUGCCCUCCAAACCAGCAGGGUUUUGCCCGGAGCUGUUUCCAAAAGCCAGAAUGCGCUUCUGUAACUGAUUUACACCUGAAAGGGUGGCUCUGAUGGUUCCCCAGUAUGGAUUUUUACCCCAGUGAAGCUUGUACUUCUGGUAACAGAAAUCAAAGACUGUAAGUGUAUCCUGCCUGGACUGCUCACAUUGCUGGUGACAAGUGAUGCGAAAGUGACUGCACUGUCAGCUACUGGAAGCCUCAGGCAACGUGCAGCAGGGAUUGCUGCAUAGGAGGAUGGAGUUGGUCUCCUCAGCCCCUUGUCUGGUUGUGUGGUCCACAGACAUCUGCUGCAAUACAGCUGCACACCUUCGCCUGGAGUGGAGGCUGUCCUCAGUCAUCCUGGAAGAGAAAGAAAGAAAGAAAGCUGUCCACCCUUUUCAGAAACCACUGAUUUUCCAUUGUAAAGAAAGAAUGAAAAAAACAAACAGAAGUUCCUUGCUUGCUGAUUGAUUUCGAAGGAAGAAAAUCUGCCCGGAGCAUCCACUGUUCCUGCGUGGGUGAUGAAGCGUUUGCUCUGGGAGCUUUGGUCACUCUGCCACUCACUUGCAAGGCACCGGGAAGCUGCUCUGCAUUCAGCAAUGCUGCAGUACCUUGUGGCUUGAGGUGCACUUGAUGAACAAGGUUGAACUGGAAUCUUUGAGCAGGAAUCCUCCUAAGCCUGAACACUGCCUAACUGGUGAAGAGUGAAGUGGGAAAUACAUACUUGUGAGCUCUGGGGCUCCUGUGGCUGGCGGACACUGCAACAAGAUCCAGCACAGCCCACAGGACUUUGAACUCAGUUUUCUCUUUGGAACAGCCUCCCCAGAUGAACUCUGAGCCUGGAUUUGAUGUUCCACACACGGUUUUGUCACAGCCCUGUGCUGUGCUGCCUGAGUGGCACCGAUGUGCAGUAAAGACCCAGCUGGCUGAGCACUUUCAGGACAAACAGGGAAGACAAUUUACUAUCUGAUUUUACGAGAGCCAUUUGCACUUUGCAGAAUUUUUUAAGCAGCAAAACCCUUAAGAGGCAUGUUCUGAGCCUGGUACCUCGGAGAAUUGCACACACAUUUCCUGUCAGCAGCCGGAGAAUGGUGUCUCACACCUGCUAUGAAGAGAUUGAAAUAUAUUCUUAAUGGCUUGAUUGCUUUGCAUUUCCCUGGAGAUGGGAUGACACACUGUGGCGUGGUUUCUUUUCCACAAGGAGCAUCCUGAACAGCGUGGCAGAGCUGAUGCUCGCUCGUACUGAUGCUCCCUGGGAUUUAACCUGUGCUUAAGAUCUAGCUAUGCUCAUAGGGAUGCUCUGGGCCUGGGAGGCAGCAGACAUGGAUCAUAGGUGGUUGCAGGCAGGAUCCUGCACUAGGACUGGUUUAAAGGUCAGCUGAUGGCUGGGCUAAAUGCCCAGAGGAAAACAUCCCUAAAAUGGAUGCUUUGCUGCAUGCAUCAUCCUGGGCAGCACUCUGAAAACCAGCAGUGAGAGAAGUUAAAACACAUUCUUUAGUUGCCUACCUCCAUGUGGUUUGUCAGAGCAUCCCAGCACCGCCAUGUGAAUGCUGCAGUGAUGCCAGGAGGACACCUUCCCACCUUGGCCAGUUACAGCCAGCACAUACCAGGGAAUGGCAGAAUAGGCCUUCCCCUGCAUCUGCCCCACUGUGAUGCUCCACCCAAAGGCUGUCCCUGUCAGCGAUGAACCUGUUAUCACACAUCAAAUAUUCAGCAACCAAAUACCAUCCAUUUCCAAGAGGCUUGAGCCCCAACCUCUUUGUUGCAUGGGAAGGAGGUGCACUAAAGGAUGACAGGCACUUCUGUAGGGUACCCUUUUAUUUCAGCAUCUUGAACAGCUGCAUGUCACCAGCCAUUAUCCUGCAGACCUCUGUACCACCCCACCUCACCACACACCCAACCCAUGGAAUGGUUUCUAAUUUUGGCAGAAGACGCUGUGGUUUCUGCUGAACGUGGUGGAAGUUGGGAGCUUUCAUCCCAUGGGAACACAGCGCAGUCCCAUAUCAGACUGAUACGAAAAGGAAACAGCGGUGCUUUUCUGCCUCAGAAUGUUUCUGUUUUUCAGACACCUGAAUAUAAACUCUGUAAAAAGGAAUUAUAUUAGAUAUGUAAAUAUUAAUAUUUAUGAAAUAAAUCCCAAAGUUUCAACUCUU
rnacentral:lncRNA from 1 species